rnacentral:rRNA from 1 species
UACAUGUGGGGCAAGCGUUGUUCGGAAUUACUGGGCAUAAAGGGUGCGUAGGUGGUUUGUUAAGUCAGGGGUGAAAUCCCGCGGCCCAACCGUGGAACUGCCUUUGAUACUGGCGAACUUGAGUGCGUGAGGGGUAGGGGGAACGAGCAGUGUAGCGGUGAAAUGCGUAGAUAUCAGGAGGAACACCGGUGGUGCAAACGGCUUUCUGGACCAUAACUGACACUGAGGCACGAAAGCGUGGGUAGCAAACAGG